rnacentral:rRNA from 1 species
UGGGCAACCUGCCCUCAGCUCUGGGACAACUCCGGGAAACCGGGGCUAAUACCGGAUACGACCUUCCCUCGCAUGGGGGUUGGUGGAAAGUUCUUCGGCUGAGGAUGGGCCCGCGGCCUAUCAGCUUGUUGGUGGGGUGAUGGCCUACCAAGGCGACGACGGGUAGCCGGCCUGAGAGGGCGACCGGCCACACUGGGACUGAGACACGGCCCAGACUCCUACGGGAGGCA